rnacentral:misc_RNA from 1 species
UGGCUCCAGCAUCGAUGAAGAACGCAGCGAAACGCGAUAUGUAAUGUGAAUUGCAGAAUUCAGUGAAUCAUCGAAUCUUUGAACGCACAUGGCGCCUUCCAGUAUCCUGGGAGGCAUGCCUGUCCGAGCGUCGUUUCAACCCUCGAGCCCCUGUGGCCCGGCGUUGGGGAUCUGCCACGGCAGGCCCCUAAAACCAGUGGCGGACCCGAUGGGCCCUCUCCUUCACGUAGUGGCAUUCGCCUCGUAUUGGGAGUCCUCGGCGUCCUGCCUCUAAACCCCCCACAAGUCCGCUUUAGCGGCACCAAGGUUGACCUCGGAUCAGGUAGGGAUACCCGCUGA